GUGCCAGCAGCCGCGGUAAUACGAAGGGUGCAAGCGUUAAUCGGAAUUACUGGGCGUAAUCCGCGCGUAGGUGGUUCAGCAAGUUGGAUGUGAAAUCCCCGGGCUGACCUGGGAACUGCAUCCAAAACUACUGAGCUAGAGUACGGUAGAGGGUGGUGGAAUUUCCUGUGUAGCGGUGAAAUGCGUAGAUAUAGGAAGGAACACCCGGGGCGAAGGAGACCACCUGGACUGAUACUGACACUGACGUGCCAAAGCUUGGGGAGCAAAUGGGAUUACAUACCCUGCUAGUCC
rnacentral:rRNA from 1 species